rnacentral:sRNA from 1 species
CACCUGGUCAGGCCCUCCGACGCUGGGCA